GGGGGUGUAUUGGUAUCGAUCUAUAGGGUGUGCCGGAGCCAGCGAGCCGAGAUUACUAUUAAGCCUCGUAAUAUUAAUAGUGUCUAAAUUUAUCUGCUAACAAUAACGCAGAUUAUUCUUUAGCUGCUGCGUAACGCAGUCAGCUAAAUGCUUAUAAGUCUCUUUGUCUGUGAGGGCUUAUAAGUAUCAUAAUUAAGCAGGCUACUCAUUUCCUGAUGCCUGUAGGGAAAUGGGGAAUUUAACAGGUUAGCAGUUUUAGAUCCUGCUUGGGGGAGCUAAAACUGUGAAGUUCAAAUCACAAGCUACGCUCGUAGAACCUCUAGGAGCACUCUAUAGACACGCCAGUUCGAAUCUGGCCAUCUCCACCA
rnacentral:tmRNA from 1 species